GAAUGCUCAGUUAAAUUUGACUACCAAAUGAACAAUGAAUAUUUUUUCAUAUAAGUAUGUUACAUGCAAUGUUUGGGACUUACUUAUACUAAAGAAUUAUUUGUUGUUUAUUUGAAAUUCAAAUUUAACUGGUCAU
rnacentral:miRNA from 1 species